rnacentral:rRNA from 1 species
UACGUAGGGCGCAAGCGUUGUCCGGAAUUAUUGGGCGUAAAGAGCUCGUAGGCGGCCUGUUGCGUCCGCUGUGAAAUCCCGGGGCUCAACCCCGGGCGUGCAGUGGAUACGGGCUGGCUGGAGGCAGGCAGGGGAGAACGGAAUUCCUGGUGUAGCGGUGAAAUGCGCAGAUAUCAGAAGGAACACCGGUGGCGAAGGCGGUUCUCUGGGCCUGUACUGACGCUGAGGAGCGAAAGCGUGGGGGAGCGAACAGG